rnacentral:tRNA from 1 species
GCCAGCGUGGUGUAGUGGUUUGAGUGUUGGACUAUGACUUUGGGGACCAGGGUUUGAUUCCCAGCUCGGCCG